GAUGAAGAACGUAGCGAAAUGCAAUAAGUAAUGUGAAUUGCAGAAUUCAGUGAAUCAUCGAAUCUUUGAACGCAUCUUGCGCUCCUUGGUAUUCUGAGGAGCAUGCCUGUUUGAGUGUCAUUAAAUUCUCAACCGCACUGACUUUGAAUUGGUGUGGCUUGGAUUUGGGGGGAAAAUUGUUGUGGGCUUUUUUGUAUAGUCUGCUCCCCUGAAAUUGAUUAGCGGUACCUUUGUGGAACUGUCUACAGGUGUGAUAAUUAUCUACAUCCUAGACAUCUGCUGGAAUGCUGCUUUCUAAACCUUACUUGUAUUGACAAUCUUGACCUCAGAUCAGGUAGGACUACCCGCUGAACUUAAGCAUAUCAAUAAGCGGAGGA
rnacentral:misc_RNA from 1 species